GUAACGGCGAGUGAAGCGGUAAAAGCUCAAAUUUGAAAUCUGGUACUUUUAGUGCCCGAGUUGUAAUUUGUAGAAUUUGUCUUUGAUUAGGUCCUUGUCUAUGUUCCUUGGAACAGGACGUCAUAGAGGGUGAGAAUCCCGUUUGGCGAGGAUACCUUUUCUCUGUAAGACUUUUUCGAAGAGUCGAGUUGUUUGGGAAUGCAGCUCAAAGUGGGUGGUAAAUUCCAUCUAAAGCUAAAUAUUGGCGAGAGACCGAUAGCGAACAAGUACAGUGAUGGAAAGAUGAAAAGAACUUUGAAAAGAGAGUGAAAAAGUACGUGAAAUUGUUGAAAGGGAAGGGCAUUUGAUCAGACAUGGUGUUUUUUGCAUGCACUCGCCUCUCGUGGGCUUGGGCCUCUCAAAAAUUUCACUGGGCCAACAUCAAUUCUGGCAGCAGGAUAAAUCAUUAAGAACGUAGCUACCUCGGUAGUGUUAUAGCUUUUUGGAAUACUGCUAGCUG
rnacentral:rRNA from 1 species